CCUACGGGAGGCUGCAGUGGGGGAUAUUGCACAAUGGGGGAAACCCUGAUGCAGCGACGCCGCGUGAGUGAAGAAGUAAUUCGUUAUGUAAAGCUCUAUCAGCAGGGAAGAAAAUGACGGUACCUGCGUAAGAAGCCGCGGCUAACUACGGGCAAGCAGCCGCGGUAAUACGUCGGGGGCGAGCGUUAUCCGGAGUUCCUGGGUGGAAAGGGAGCGUAGAGGGCGGUGCAAGUCUGGAGUGAAAGGCGGGGGCGCAACCCCCGGACUGCUCUGGAAACUGUACAGCUGGAGUGCAGGAGAGGUAAGUGGAAUUCGUAGUGUAGCGGUGAAAGGCUUAGAUAUUAGGAGGAACACCAGUGGCGAAGGCGGCUUACUGGACUGUAACUGACGUUGAGGCUCGAAAGCGUGGGGAGCAAACAGGAUUAGAUACCCGAGUAGUC
rnacentral:rRNA from 1 species